GGUAGCUUUAGAAAACAUGAUUAACUCAGUGCAGAUGGAUUUUUCAGUCUUGCUGAGAUGCAAUGGUAACGAGAUAGGCUCAUUCGGGAUACUGGAUCAGCUGAUUCUUUCUAACAGAAGCGAUUCUGUUGGCGAAGACGAACAUCGUCAACAAUGCCUUGCAGUGUAUCAUCAUAGAGAAGUCAAUAGCAGAAUCCUUGUGGUCGGCGAAUAAUAGACGCUUGCAGUGCAAGAAUAAUCCAUUUGGUUUGUGGUGUGAGAGACCACCAACAGCGAUGGAAAAUCUCAAUAAGCUGAUUUGCCUUGAACCUAAGAAAUUAGGGUAUAACACAAGAAAUUCGUUAAAGUAGCGGUAUGGCAAGUUCUUGAAUAAGCAAUUUCGAUAUAAGCAAUGAAAAGGGUGCAAAAUAGGCGAAAACAUAAUCUGAAAGAACCGUGAAAUUUACGGGUAUCAAUCCCGUGUGUGCUUUGACAGCGGUAAGAAGCCAAGGGUCGCACCCGAACGCUCAGACUUAUCGUCACACUGGCAGAAUAUGACUUUUACCGUGGUGAAUAAGAGGAAACUCUAAUCAUGUUUUUCUUAUUCU
rnacentral:ncRNA from 1 species